UCUAAGAGUGUUUGCAGAGAGUAAGAGAGACCAAAAGGAAAGCAAAUCCACUCUCUCCUUUCCUAACUUUCAUCAUCCUAAAAUAACCUAAAUGGUGAACUGUCGAUUGACGGUCUACCCCCACCAUUCACGGUCCGCUGCCGCAGGCUCGCAACCACUCACGACCAGCGCCGCUGCCACAGAGCCGCAGUCUCGCAACGCAACCACUCACGGCUGUCGUUGUUUUCCUCCCAGCCAUUGACGGCCACCGCACGCAAGCCAGAGGAGCGCCAUCACUCACGAGCUCACGUGACGCUGCCGUUGUUUCCUUUCCCCCCAGCCAUUUGACGCUGCGUCGCUGCCGUUGAACGUUCCAUUCCAUUUCAUUCGGGUAAUAUUCUAAAAAAUUGGAAUGGCCACAACAACCCCAAAGUUGAUCUCCGACAAGAACGAGAUGCGAAACUGGUCUCGCUCCAUGCGGGCCCAAGGCAAGCUAAUUGGAUUUGUUCCCACCAUGGGCUUUCUCCACGCGGGCCACCUCUCUCUCGUCUCCCAGGCCCGCUCCCUCUGCGACGUCGUCGCCGUCUCCAUCUACGUCAAUCCGGGCCAGUUUGCGCCCUCCGAGGAUCUCUCCACCUACCCCUCCGAUUUCCAAGGCGACCUCCGCAAACUCGCUGCGCUGCCCGGUGGCGUCGACGUCGUCUUCCACCCUCGCAAUCUGUAUGAUUAUGGAAAUAACAGUGGUGACGUGGCGGGUCAGGGAGGUGGCGCGGCGGCGUCUUGCGUUGGUGGUGAUGGGUCGGGGCACGAGACUUGGGUGAGGGCUGAGAAGCUAGAAGUGGGAUUGUGUGGAAAAAGUAGGCCCAUUUUCUUCAGAGGGGUGGCUACUAUUGUGACCAAAUUGUUCAACAUUGUGGAGCCGGAUGUGGCUGUGUUCGGGAAAAAAGAUUAUCAACAGUUGAGAGUUAUUCAGAGGAUGGUUCGAGAUCUUGAUUUUUUCAUAAAAGUGAUCGGUGCUGAAAUAACACGUGAGAGUGAUGGCCUGGCAAUGAGUUCACGUAAUGUGCACCUUUCACCUGAAGAGCGGGGAAAGGCAAUAUCAAUAAAUAAAUCUUUGUUAAAAGCUAAAUCUGCAGCAGAAGAUGGUGAAGUGCAUUGUGAGAAGUUGAGGAAUUUGGUCAUCCAGUGUAUUUCUGAGGCCGGUGGAAGGGUUGAUUAUGCUGAGAUCCUUGAAUGAAGCCAAAACAGUACAGAUGUAGAAUGCAGAAUUUUGAAUAAUAGAAGGCAUUGUUAAUGCAACUACAUACGAAUUCCUGCAGAUUGUUGAUCAAAAUAAUUUGGAGAAAGUGGAAAAGAUCAAGGGUCCUGUGGUCUUCUGUGUCGCUGCAUGGUUUGGGAAAGUCAGACUUAUAGACAACAUGGAAAUCAACUUGUCCAUAGGUGUUUAGUCACCUUCUAUCAUCUCAGACACGGACCACACGCUUCAUAGUUCGGACCACAUGCUUAACAGUUCUUUGUUAUAGAUCAUGAUAGAUUUUUGCUAACCAUGCAUGAUUACCUGUAGAUGCAUUUUUCCGCAUUAUGAAAUUCGCAGAGAGCUGCUACCAGUGGACACUUCUAGGAAUCAAUGAAGUGGGUUGUUUCCUUUUUAAUCAGGAACUCAUGCGUGUUUUAUUCACACACGAGUUCAACUAUAUGCUGAAUAAAACCUCCAUGAAUGCGAGAGGAAGAGGACUGAAAUUUACUUAGUGCAAAUAAUUGUAUUGAAGGUUAAACUAUUUUUUCUUCAAGAUUUAUUUUAUCGUUAUGGUUUUGUUCCAGCAAAACUGUGCCAAGGACAAAACGCUAGCAUCAGUCUGUUCUACAUACCUUGAGGCUAGAUAGGAACUAUGUUGGAAUGGAAAUCUGUUAUUAUAUGGUGUGGAGUUCAACCAGUGUUGUUGAAUAUCGGCUAUGACGGUGCCAUGGCGGAAACCGACAACAGUUUCUCGGCCUUCUGCCGCAAUAAGGUGGAGGGGUAUCGGAUUUUCGGUGGCGACUGCUUUUGACAUGGUGGGUGGCUGUGGCGUCCCGGCUGAGGCGAAAAAAUCGGAUUGAAAAAACAAAAAAACAAGAUCUUGAGAGUAGAGGAGAAGAGAUAUGCAGAACGGCGGCUUGUGCGGGAUGGGUGAGAGAAGUUGGACAAGGAAGAUCAGAAACACUAAUUUAAUUCACAUCACUCGUAGUCUAUAAUUGGGCCCGGCCCACUAAAAUGAAGGAGAAAUAAAGAGGUACACGUUUUACUCA